AUGGUGGUUUUACAGGUGGGGUCACUGGAGGCUUUGGUGGUGCUGGGGUUACAGGUGGACUUGGAUAGUAGGGUGGCGUUGGAGUUACCGGAGGCUUUGGUGGUAAAGUUGGUGGUGUUGGGACCACCGGAGGUUUAGGUGGUAAAGUUGGUGGCGUCGGGACCACCGGAGGCUUUGGUGGCAAAGUUGGUGGUGUUGGGGUCACCGGAGGCUUUGGUGGUAAAGUUGGUGGUGAUGGGGUCACCGGAGGCUUUGGUGGUAAAGUUGGUGGUUUCGGUGGGUAAACGAUAGGCGGUUUUGGAUAAUAUGGUGGCGGUUUUGGUGGUAAAGUUGGUGGUUUCGGUGGGUAAACGAUAGGCGGUUUUGGAUAAUAUGGUGGCUUUACAACAGGAGGUUUGGGUACCAAAGGUGGCGGCUUUACUACAGGAGGUUUUGGCACAUAGGGUGGGUGAACAAUUGGAGGCUUGGGUGUGAUAGGUGGUUUAGGCACAUGUGGCGGUUUGGGCGUGGUUGGUGGUUUCACAAUGG
rnacentral:lncRNA from 1 species